rnacentral:rRNA from 1 species
AUUGAACGCUGGCGGCAGGCCUAACACAUGCAAGUCGAGCGGCAGCGGGACCUUCGGGUUGCCGGCGAGCGGCGGACGGGUGAGUAAUGCCUAGGAAUCUGCCUGUUAGUGGGGGAUAACGCGGGGAAACUCGCGCUAAUACCGCAUACGUCCUACGGGAGAAAGCGGGGGCUCUUCGGACCUCGCGCUAACAGAUGAGCCUAGGUCGGAUUAGCUAGUUGGUGGGGUAAUGGCUCACCAAGGCGACGAUCCGUAACUGGUCUGAGAGGAUGAUCAGUCACACUGGAACUGAGACACGGUCCAUACUCCUACGGGAGGCAGCAGUGGGGAAUAUUGGACAAUGGGCGAAAGCCUGAUCCAGCCAUGCCGCGUGUGUGAAGAAGUUCUUCGGAUUGUAAAGCACUUUAAGUCGGGAGGAAGGGCUGUAGGUUAAUACCCUGCAGUUUUGACGUUACCGACAGAAUAAGCACCGGCUAACUUCGUGCCAGCAGCCGCCGUAA